AGUGGGGAAUCUUAGACAAUGGGGGAAACCCUGAUCUAGCCAUGCCGCGUGAGUGACGAAGGCCUUAGGGUCGUAAAGCUCUUUCGCUGGGGAAGAUAAUGACGGUACCCAGUAAAGAAACCCCGGCUAACUCCGUGCCAGCAGCCGCGGUAAUACGGAGGGGGUUAGCGUUGUUCGGAAUUACUGGGCGUAAAGCGCACGUAGGCGGGCUGUUAAGUCGGGGGUGAAAUCCCGGGGCUCAACCCCGGAACUGCCUUCGAUACUGGCAGCCUUGAGUUCGAGAGAGGUGAGUGGAAUUCCGAGUGUAGAGGUGAAAUUCGUAGAUAUUCGGAGGAACACCAGUGGCGAAGGCGGCUCACUGGCUCGAUACUGACGCUGAGGUGCGAAAGCGUGGGGAGCAAA
rnacentral:rRNA from 1 species